AUAGGGCUGUAUUUGUCUUCACUCUGCUCCACUUGCAUGUUGGUAAGCAAAUAUUACAAGAUACUGUAAAUCUCCAGCGCUUCCUCGUCUAAAAGAAAUGAAACCAUUCCUUUAGAUGAGGGAACGUUGGAGUCUUAGUGUUUUGCAAUAUUUGCUUACCAAUAUGCAAGUGGAACAGAGUGAAGACAAAUUUAGUGCUAU